GUACUGUGCGAACGUUAUUCGGAAUCACUGGGGCUUAAAGGGGUGCGUAGGCGGUCGAUCAAGUCAGAUGUGAAAUGCCUGAGCUCAACUGAGGCACUGCGUUUGAAACUGAUCGACUUGAGUAUUUCAGGGGUAUGCGGAACUGCCAGUGGAGCGGUGAAAUGCGUUGAUAUUGGCAGGAACACCAGUGGCGAAGGCGGCAUACUGGGGAAUAACUGACGCUGAGGCACGAAAGCCAGGGUAGCGAACGGGAUUAGAUACCCCGGUAGUCCUGGCUGUAAACGAUGAGUACUGGGCGGGAGGAAGUUCGCUUCUUCCUGCCGUAGCGAAAGCAUUAAGUACUCCGCCUGGGGAGUAUGGUCGCAAAGGCUG
rnacentral:rRNA from 1 species